rnacentral:rRNA from 1 species
GAUGAACGCUGGCGGCGUGCCUAAUACAUGCAAGUCGAGCGAACAGAUAAGGAGCUUGCUCCUUUGACGUUAGCGGCGGACGGGUGAGUAACACGUGGGUAACCUACCUAUAAGACUGGAAUAACUCCGGGAAACCGGGGCUAAUGCCGGAUAACAUUUAGAACCGCAUGGUUCUAAAGUGAAAGAUGGUUUUGCUAUCACUUAUAGAUGGACCCGCGCCGUAUUAGCUAGUUGGUAAGGUAACGGCUUACCAAGGCAACGAUACGUAGCCGACCUGAGAGGGCGACCAGCCACACUGGAACUGAGACACGGUCCAGACUCCUACGGGAGGCAGCAGUAGGGAAUCUUCCACAAUGGGCGAAAGCCUGACGGAGCAACGCCGCGUGCAUGAUGAAGGUCUUCGGAUCGUAAAACUCUGUUAUUAGGGAAGAACAAAUGUGUAAGUAACUGUGCACGUAUUGACGGUACCUAAUCAGAAAGCCACGGCUAACUACGUG